rnacentral:misc_RNA from 1 species
CUGAUCAUGUAGUAGAAUGGCUUUUUCCCCACCUCCACCGCUGCAUUUUGUCCCUUGGAAGCAUCAACUGAGGAGCUUUCUGGGGAAGAUGUUGAGGCUUCUUCCCUGUUGAACCCACCAGUGACCUCCAUUUCUUGAGAUGUUUUUUCAUCACCAUCAAUGGUAACCAAUUGGUCUCCACUUUUUUCAGCAUCCUGAAUGCAAUUUAUGGUUCUUUCACUAGUAAUAACAGAGCCAUUCAGACCCUCACAUUCAGAUACACGGCCAUCAUUGUUAGGGGCAAAUUCUCUGGAACCUGUUGGUGUAUUUUCAACUUUUGACCCAGCUUUCACACCAACUGAAUUCUCAACUGAAUCAUGGAUACUGGCCUCUCUAUCUGGAUAGUCGUCCGAAACAGAGUAGCUGCCAACACAUUGAGAAGCCCCCUCUGAAACUUCAGGUUCUUUGUCCAACUCAUUACUUGAGAAAACAGAUGCUUUUUCUCCAGAUUCAAUAGCUGUGGAACCAGUCUCAAUUUCUGGUUCUUCAUCAUUAACCAGGCAACUUGGCUUUGCACAAGUUGCAAGAGGGCUGCUAUCCGGCUCAAUCACUAUUCCUCUGUCACCAAUAGAAUGAGAACCAACACUUUCAAUGCUAUUAACAUCCAUCUUUUCCACCAAAGUCUCUGUUCUCAUAUCAUCAUUAACUUCCGUAUCAUCCACAGCAACAGGACAAUAAUCCACAAUUUUAACAACUGGUUCCCACACUGUUUCACUGGCAGGAGCAAGAGGAAUGCUUUCAUAACUUUCAACUGCCACAUUGUCAUGAACAACAGUUUUGACAACUUCAGAA